GUUAUAGUUUAUUUGAUAAUACCUUACUACUUGGAUAUCCGUAGUAAUUCUAGAGCUAAUACAUGCAAUAAAAGGCCGACUUCUGGAAGGCCUGUAUUUAUUAGAUACAAAAACCAUCCCCUUUUUGGGUUCUUUGGUGAUUCAUAGUAACUUUUCGAAUCGCAUGACUUUACGUCGGCGAUGGUUCAUUCAAAUUUCUGCCCUAUCACCCUUUGAUGGUAGUAUAGAGGACUACCAUGGGUUUAACGGGUAACGGCGAAUUAGGGUUCGAUUCCGGAGAGGGAGCCUGAGAAACGGCUACCACAUCUAAGGAAGGCAGCAGGCGCGCAAAUUACCCAAUCCUGAUUCAGGGAGGUAGUGACAAUAAAUAACAAUCCAGGGCUUUUGUCUUGGAAUUGGAAUGAGAACAAUUUAAAUCCCUUAACGAGGAACAAUUGGAGGGCAAGUCUGGUGCCAGCAGCCGCGGUAAUUCCAGCUCCAAUAGCGUAUAUUAAAGUUGUUGCAGUUAAAUAGCUCGUAGUUGAAUUUUGG
rnacentral:rRNA from 1 species